UGGGGAAUAUUGGACAAUGGGGGGAACCCUGAUCCAGCCAUGCCGCGUGUGUGAAGAAGGCCUUAUGGUUGUAAAGCACUUUAAGCGAGGAGGAGGGUACUGGUAUUAAUACUACCAGGUACUGGACGUUACUCGCUGAAUAAGCACCGGCUAACUCUGUGCCAGCAGCCGCGGUAAUACAGAGGGUGCGAGCGUUAAUCGGAUUUACUGGGCGUAAAGCGUGCGUAGGCGGCUAAUUGAGUCGGAUGUGAAAUCCCCGAGCUUAACUUGGGAAUUGCAUUCGAUACUGGUUAGCUAGAGUGUGGGAGAGGAUGGUAGAAUUCCAGGUGUAGCGGUGAAAUGCGUAGAUAUAGGAAGGAACACCAGUGGCGAAGGCGACCACCUGGGCUCAUACUGACACUGAGGUGCGAAAGCGUGGGGAGCAAACAGG
rnacentral:rRNA from 1 species